rnacentral:rRNA from 1 species
UACGUAGGGGGCAAGCGUUGUCCGGAAUCAUUGGGCGUAAAGAGCGUGUAGGCGGCUCGGUAAGUCCGCUGUGAAAGUCCAGGGCUCAACCCUGGAAAGCCGGUGGAAACUGUCGAGCUCGAGUCCGGAAGAGGCGAGUGGAAUUCCUGGUGUAGCGGUGAAAUGCGCAGAUAUCAGGAGGAACACCAAUGGCGAAGGCAGCACUCUGGGACGUGACUGACGCUGAGGAGCGAAAGCGUGGGGAGCGAACAGG